AUUGAACGCUGGCGGCAGGCCUAACACAUGCAAGUCGAACGGUAACAGGAAGCAGCUUGCUGCUUUGCUGACGAGUGGCGGACGGGUGAGUAAUGUCUGGGAAACUGCCCGAUGGAGGGGGAUAACUACUGGAAACGGUAGCUAAUACCGCAUAACGUCGCAAGACCAAAGAGGGGGACCUUAGGGCCUCUUGCCAUCGGAUGUGCCCAGAUGGGAUUAGCUAGUAGGUGGGGUAACGGCUCACCUAGGCGACGAUCCCUAGCUGGUCUGAGAGGAUGACCAGCCACACUGGAACAGAGACACGGUCCAGACUCCUACGGGAGGCAGCAGUGGGGAAUAUUGCACAAUGGGCGCAAGCCUGAUGCAGCCAUGCCGCGUGUAUGAAGAAGGCCUUCGGGUUAAAGUACUUUCAGCGGGGAGGAAGGGAGUAAAGUUAAUACCUUUGCUCAUUGACGUUACCCGCAGAAGAAGCACCGGCUAACUCCGUG
rnacentral:rRNA from 1 species